rnacentral:tRNA from 1 species
UUUUUAUUAGUUAAAUUACAAAAUUUUUUAUUGUUAAUAAAAAGAUGAAAAAAUUAAAUUUAUUUUAUAAAAAU